rnacentral:lncRNA from 1 species
CUCCUUUCCUCCCAGACAGGAGUUUCUCCACCAGAGCCACAUUCCCCGUGCGGGCGGCCUCCAGCAGCUCCUGGUCCUUGCCCAUGGCCGGGGACCGCGCGGCCCCCGCUCCCCCCGCCGCGCUGCCUGGGAGCGGAGCGUGGAUUCCUGCAGUCCCCUCCGGAGCAGCGGGAGCAGCAGCGGGAGGGAGGAGGAGAAUCACCUCCUCCUAGUUUCACUGGAUCAUUGCUGGGUGGAGUGUGGAGGGGAAGGAGGGGGGGAGCCAGGCCGAGCAGGAGCCUCCCCCCCCCGCUCCCAUCCGCGCACCCCGAGCCUCGGCCUGGAGAGCGGGGCGGAGGGCAGCGGGCGGCCCCCGCCCGCCCCUCGCGCGUUCCACUGCGGUGAGGGGCUGCGCGUGCGGGGAGAGGUGUCCGUCCGCCCGCCCGCUCCUCGGCCCCGCCAGGUGCGGAGCCCGCGGCCCAGGCGGCCGCAGGUGGCCCCGGGGAGCGGCGGGGAGGUGGCGCCGCCUCGCGCUGCGGAAAGGGAAG